GUCAGGGUGGCCGAGUGGUCUAAGGCGCCAGACUCAAGCGCAGCUUCCUCGAAAGUGAGGGUUCUGGUCUCCCCUGGAGGCGUGGGUUCGAAUCCCACUCCUGACA
rfam:Cricetulus griseus cell line CHO-K1, whole genome shotgun sequence.